rnacentral:rRNA from 1 species
GAUGAACGCUGGCGGCGUGCCUAAUACAUGCAAGUCGAGCGAACGGACGAGAAGCUUGCUUCUCUGAUGUUAGCGGCGGACGGGUGAGUAACACGUGGAUAACCUACCUAUAAGACUGGGAUAACUUCGGGAAACCGGAGCUAAUACCGGAUAAUAUUUUGAACCGCAUGGUUCAAAAGUGAAAGACGGUCUUGCUGUCACUUAUAGAUGGAUCCGCGCUGCAUUAGCUAGUUGGUAAGGUAACGGCUUACCAAGGUAACGAUGCAUAGCCGACCUGAGAGGGUGAUCGGCCACACUGGAACUGAGACACGGUCCAGACUCCUACGGGAGGCAGCAGUAGGGAAUCUUCCGCAAUGGGCGAAAGCCUGACGGAGCAACGCCGCGUGAGUGAUGAAGGUCUUCGGAUCGUAAAACUCUGUUAUUAGGGAAGAACAUAUGUGUAAGUAACUGUGCACAUCUUGACGGUACCUAAUCAGAAAGCCACGGCUAACUACGUGCCAGCAGCCGCGGUAAUACGUAAGUGGCAAGCGUUAUCCGGAAUUAUUGGGCGUAAAGCGCGCGUAGCGGUUUUUUAGUCUGAUGUGAAAGCCCACGGCUCAACCGUGGAGGGUCAUUGGAAACUGGAAAACUUGAGUGCAGAAGAGGAAAGUGGAAUUCCAUGUGUAGCGGUGAAAUGCGCAGAGAUAUGGAGGAACACCAGUGGCGAAGGCGACUUUCUGGUCUGUAACUGACGCUGAUGUGCGAAAGCGUGGGGAUCAAACAGGAUUAGAUACCCUGGUAGUCCACGCCGUAAACGAUGAGUGCUAAGUGUUAGGGGGUUUCCGCCCCUUAGUGCUGCAGCUAACGCAUUAAGCACUCCGCCUGGGGAGUACGACCGCAAGGUUGAAACUCAAAGGAAUUGACGGGGACCCGCACAAGCGGUGGAGCAUGUGGUUUAAUUCGAAGCAACGCGAAGAACCUUACCAAAUCUUGACAUCCUUUGACAACUCUAGAGAUAGAGCCUUCCCCUUCGGGGGACAAAGUGACAGGUGGUGCAUGGUUGUCGUCAGCUCGUGUCGUGAGAUGUUGGGUUAAGUCCCGCAACGAGCGCAACCCUUAAGCUUAGUUGCCAUCAUUAAGUUGGGCACUCUAAGUUGACUGCCGGUGACAAACCGGAGGAAGGUGGGGAUGACGUCAAAUCAUCAUGCCCCUUAUGAUUUGGGCUACACACGUGCUACAAUGGACAAUACAAAGGGCAGCGAAACCGCGAGGUCAAGCAAAUCCCAUAAAGUUGUUCUCAGUUCGGAUUGUAGUCUGCAACUCGACUACAUGAAGCUGGAAUCGCUAGUAAUCGUAGAUCAGCAUGCUACGGUGAAUACGUUCCCGGGUCU